rnacentral:rRNA from 1 species
AUACGAGGGGUGCAAGCGUUAAUCGGAAUUACUGGGCGUAAAGCGUUCGUAGGCGGUUUGUUAAGCAAGAUGUGAAAGCCCUGGGCUCAACCUGGGAACUGCAUUUUGAACUGGCAAACUAGAAUACUGUAGAGGGUGGUGGAAUUUCCAGUGUAGCGGUGAAACGCGUAGAGAUUGGAAGGAACAUCAGUGGCGAAGGCGGCCACCUGGACAGAUAUUGACGCUGAGGAACGAAAGCGUGGGGAGCGAACAGGAUUAGAAACCCUGGUAGUCC